GGGGGGAAGGGCGCCUGGCGAUAGGAGGAAGAGCCUGGAGACAGGGUGGGCCAAGACUAUGUUUCGGUCCUGAAGAAAGGAGAUGCUGGCAUCUACAAAGGAUUGGUCUGGUCUGAGAAAGGGCUCAGGAGGGCUACACUGGAAGGAAAACUGAGAGCAGCUCUUGUCAAUACAAGACCUCAUUCAUUAUGUCCAGAGCCUCUUGGAAAUGUCCCCCAGCAAGGCUGCCAUCAGCACUUGACUGAAAACACAUGGAAGUGGCCCACUCAGAGCAGGAAUUCAUUACUGGAAGAAUAAUAAGGGAAAGUUUUUCUUUUUUUUUUUCUUCUUUCUUUGUUGCUGGGAAAGCUGCUUUCUGGAAAAGUUGCAUGGCUUAGAGGGAAUUUGAAUCAUGUCUGGUAACAAGGGAGGAAAUGGAGGCAGAAGGGCAUAUUUCCAGAAGCCCUUUCACACAAAGCAUGGUGGGCCUGGGCAACUCAAAGUGAGUUGUUCUAACUUAGAUGUACUAUUGAAAUCAGGCCAUGGCUCCCUUUAGCUGAUAUCCUUUCUCAGAGUUAUUAGUACCUGAUAGCUUCAUGGGAAAAGUACCCAGAGUUAACUGAUUUCCCUGCCCACUCGUCUCUUCCAAAAAGGUCACCUGUGGACUAAAAUGGACUGCAAAACUAUUUGGUCUUCCACCCUCAACAUGACUCCAUAGGUCUUUGUUAGAUGCCCAGUAAUCCAAGGGAAAGUACCAAGUGUGAGUGUGAAAGGAGGAGGCACUUGCCAGGGCACUAGGUCUAUGAUA
ensembl:lncRNA